rnacentral:rRNA from 1 species
UAAUACGGAGGGUGCGAGCGUUACCCGGAUUUACUGGGUGUAAAGGGCGUGUAGGCGGUUUCUCAAGUCCGAUGCUAAAGGCCAGGGCUCAACCCUGGGAGUGCGUUGGAUACUGUGAGACUAGACGGUCGGAGAGGGUAGCGGAAUUCUCGGAGUAGCAGUGAAAUGCGCAGAUACCGAGAGGAACGCCAAUAGCGAAAGCAGCUACCUGGACGAUUUGUGACGCUGAGGCGCGAAAGCGUGGGGAGCAAACCGG